rnacentral:lncRNA from 1 species
AAAAAAAAAUGGAGUCGGCGGAGGAGAGGGGAGGGAGGCGGCGGGGCCGGCCCGAGAGCCCGCUUCCAUUUGCACCCGGGCGGUUCCCUCUUUCCCGCCGCACCCGUCCGCGGAGAGAGGCCGGGGCCGUGGGGGAGGCCGGGGCCGAGGCAGUGCCGGGUUCGCGGGCUCCCUGGGCCUCAUCCGGGCCUGGGUCGUGGCGCAAGCCCGGCCUGCCGUAGCGGUUGUCGGCCGGCCGCGAGGCCCUGCGGAGGACGCGGCCCAGGCCGCUGCACGCUCCGCUCGGCCGUGGGGAGGCCGCCUGCGAGGCCCGUGUCAGCCGGCGGGCCGGGAGACCGAGGACUGUGGCGGGGAGCGCUUUUUGUGUUUUGGUGAUUUUUU